rnacentral:snoRNA from 13 species
UGCCCUGUGAUGACACCAUCCUUGCUCCCCGUGUGCCCCCCGGGGCUGUGGGUGACACCUUGGCUGCCCCGGACUGGGCCAGGUGGGCCAGUGUCCGGGGGCUGAGGGCA